UAGUGGUUAGAGUGUUGGAGGGUAUGUGGGGUGGCAGGUAGCCUAGUGGCUAGAGCGUUGGAGGGUAUGUGGGGUUGCAGUUAGCCUAGUGGCUAGAGCGUUGGAGGGUAUGUGGGGUGGCAGGUAGCUUAGUGGUUAGAGCGUUGGAGGGUAUGUGGGGUGGCAGGUAGCCUAGUGGCUAGAGCGUUGGAGGGUAUGUGGGGUUGCAGUUAGCCUAGUGGCUAGAGCGUUGGAGGGUAUGUGAGGUGGCAGGUAGCUUAGUGGUUAGAGCGUUGGAGGGUAUGUGGGGUGGCAGGUAGCCUAGUGGCUAGAGCGUUGGAGGGUAUGUGAGGUGGCAGUUAGCCUAGUGGCUAGAGCGUUGGAGGGUAUGUGGGGUGGCAGGUAGCCUAGUGGCUAGAGCGUUGGAGGGUAUGUGAGGUGGCAGGUAGCCUAGUGGCUAGAGCGUUGGAGGGUAUGUGGGGUGGCAGGUAGCUUAGUGGCUAGAGCGUUGGAGGGUAUGUGAGGUGGCAGGUAGCUUAGUGGCUAGAGCGUUGGAGGGUAUGUGAGGUGGCAGGUAGCUUAGUGGCUAGAGCGUUGGAGGGUAUGUGGGGUUGCAGUUAGCCUAGUGGCUAGAGCGUUGGAGCGUAUGUGGGGUGGCAGGUAGCCUAGUGGCUAGAGCGUUGGAGGGUAUGUGGGGUGGCAGGUAGCUUAGUGGCUAGAGCGUUGGAGGGUAUGUGGGGUGGCAGGUAGCUUAGUGGCUAGAGCAUUGGAGGGUAUGUGGGGUGGCAGGUAGCCUAGUGGCUAGAGCGUUGGAGGGUAUGUGGGGUGGCAGGUAGCUUAGUGGCUAGAGCGUUGGAGGGUAUGUGGGGUGGCAGGUAGCCUAGUGGCUAGAGCGUUGGAGGGUAUGUGGGGUGGCAGGUAGCCUAGUGGCUAGAGCGUUGGAGGGUACGUGGGGUGGCAGGUAGCUUAGUGGUUAGAGCGUUGGAGGGUAUGUGGGGUGGCAGGUAGCCUAGUGGCUAGAGCGUUGGAGGGUAUGUGAGGUGGCAGGUAGCCUAGUGGCUAGAGUGUUGGAGGGUAUGUGGGGUGGCAGGUAGCUUAGUGGUUAGAGCGUUGGAGGGUAUGUGGGGUGGCAGGUAGCUUAGUGGCUAAAG